CUUUGGAAAGAGAUAAACGUGAAUUAAACCAAGAUCAAAGUUGAGCGACGUUUGGUGAAACCGGGCCUCGUAAUUUGCCUAAAACCGGCUUGAAAUUAUCAACGGCCGACGGUCGCGUGGCCGAAUUGCAAGGAUGGAUAUCGAGCUGCCUUUAAGUCUUUUUUCCUCUCCCGCGAAAGAAACCGGAUAAAUGUUCGUUGUUCCGUUCUCGAGACGUUGGAACGUCCGUAAAGAGUUUAUCCGUAACUGUUAACCGCCGCGCUUCUUCUGGCAAUCCCGUAUGUGUCUGUCGAAUCGGGAAAAGGAAGCAACAUUGGUCAACGUUGACGAUCAGUAAACCCGUAAAGACUAGCUCGCGAUCAAACGACUUGUGCAUUUAAGCAACAUUUAACUUCAACCGCGUGUUAACAAAUCCCGGCCCGAGGUAAACCUCGCGGUCCCAUUUUUCGAGAGACGUGGCAGGUUUUUUUUUCUCCCCCCCCCCUCUCCCCCCUGUAAGGCUCAAGCACACGAGGUACACACUUUGAUUCGACGAUUUCUCAAGUAUUCUAUUUGACACCAUAUCGCGAACAUUUAAUGUUGUUAUGAUUGUAUUAACGCCAUUAACGACUUACAAUUAAAUAAAUCAUGUAUGGGGAUGUAACACACGUUUAAUAAAUACUUUUUUGCAAAUCAGCCUGCGCCGCUGUCAUACGUCAUCCGUCUUUAUGCGACUCACUGUGUGCGUAUAAGAAACGCAUAAAUUAUCGAUAUGAUUUCUAUCUAAAUGUUUUUUUCCGUGCGCGAUUCAGCGUAAUCGAUAUGCUAGAUCCUGACGGUUCUCUCAUACAUUCGUAGUAAUGUUAAUCUAUUGAUCAUGUAAAACAUUAAUAAAGUAAUUUCAGUCAA